rnacentral:rRNA from 1 species
CGGACGGGUGAGUAACGCGUGAGCAAUCUGCCCAUAUCUGGGGGAUAACAGUUAGAAAUGACUGCUAAUACCGCAUAUGACCACGGGAAGGCAUCUUUCCGGGGUGAAAGAUUUAUCGGAUAUGGAUGAGCUCGCGUCCCAUUAGGUAGUUGGUGAGGUAACGGCCCACCAAGCCGACGAUGGGUAGCCGGCCUUAGAGGGUGAUCGGCCACAUUGGAACUGAGACACGGUCCAAACUCCUACGGGAGGCAGCAG